GGACUACCCGGGUUUCUAAUCCUGUUUGCUACCCACGCUUUCAUGCCUCAGCGUCAGUUACGGUCCAGAGAAUCGCCUUCGCCACUGGUGUUCUUCCUAAUCUCUACGCAUUUCACCGCUACACUAGGAAUUCCAUUCUCCUCUCCCGCACUCUAGAUAUCCAGUUUGAAAUGCAGCACCCAAGUUAAGCUCGGGUAUUUCACAUCUCACUUAAAUAUCCGCCUACGCAUCCUUUACGCCCAGUAAAUCCGGACAACGCUCGCCACCUACGUAUUACCGCGGCUGCUGGCAC
rnacentral:rRNA from 1 species